UACGUAGGGUGCGAGCGUUAAUCGGAAUUACUGGGCGUAAAGCGUGCGCAGGCGGUUCGUUGUGUCUGCUGUGAAAUCCCCGGGCUCAACCUGGGAAUGGCAGUGGAAACUGGCGAGCUUGAGUGUGGCAGAGGGGGGUGGAAUUCCGCGUGUAGCAGUGAAAUGCGUAGAGAUGCGGAGGAACACCGAUGGCGAAGGCAACCCCCUGGGCUAACACUGACGCUCAUGCACGAAAGCGUGGGGAGCAAACAGG
rnacentral:rRNA from 1 species